AAUCCUGUGAGAGUACACAUUGAAAUUGGUCCUGAUGGCAGAGUAACUGGUGAAGCAGAUGUCGAGUUCGCAACUCAUGAAGAUGCUGUGGCAGCUAUGUCAAAAGACAAAGCAAAUAUGCAACACAGAUAUGUAGAACUCUUCUUGAAUUCUACAGCAGGAGCAAGCGGUGGUGCUUACGGUAGCCAAAUGCUAGGAGGCAUGGGUUUGUGUAAAUAUCACUUUAGUGUCUUUUUUUAAGCUAACCUUGUAUGCCUUUUCUCUCAUUUCAGAACACAGAUAUGUAGAACUCUUCUUGAAUUCUACAGCAGGAGCAAGCGGUGGUGCUUAUGGUAGCCAAAUGAUGGGAGGCAUGGGCUUGUCAAACCAGUCCAGUUACGGGGGCCCAGCCAGCCAGCAGCUGAGUGGUGGUUAUGGAGGCGGCUAUGGUGGCCAGAGCAGCAUGAGUGGAUACGGUAACCAAGGAGCAAUGAACAGCAGCUACUACAGUAGUGGAAGCCGUGCAUCUGUGGGCGUGAACGGAAUGGGAGGGAUGUCU
rnacentral:sRNA from 1 species